rnacentral:rRNA from 1 species
AGAGUUUGAUCAUGGCUCAGGAUGAACGCUGGCGGCGUGCCUAACACAUGCAAGUCGAACGGACCUUCGGGUGAGUGGCGGACGGGUGAGUAACACGUAGCUGAUCUACCUCAAAGUGGGGGAUAACGGUGCGAAAGCGCUGCUAAUACCGCAUAAGCUCACGCUGAUUUAGCAAGGUGUGAGAAAAACUCUGGUGCUUUGAGAUGAGGCUGCGGCCCAUCAGGUAGUUGGUAGGGUAACGGCCUACCAAGCCAACGACGGGUAGGGGGCCUGAGAGGGUGAACCCCCACACUGGGACUGAGACACGGCCCAGACUCCUACGGGAGGCAGCAGUGAGGAAUAUUGGUCAAUGGGGGCAACCCUGAACCAGCAACGCCGCGUGGGCGAUGAAGGUCUUCGGAUCGUAAAGCCCUUUUGCAGGUGACGAGGAAGGACGGUAGCCUGCGAAGAAGUGUCGGCUAACUACGUGCCAGCAGCCGCGGUAAUUC